GGCAGGUGGAGGUUCAGGGGAGUGACCCAUACUCCAGUAACUCCAGUCGGAGCCACUACAGAAUGCAGGAUCGCCAAGGACGUGUGAAGUAACAAGCACUGCUUUGGGCAAAAGACUGACAGGCCCUAUUUCUCUCCCCAAUCUUACAACCAGAUAUUUUCAGAAAUUAUUUUGGGGAAAGAUUUAACCAAGGAUUCAAAAAGAAGAAAAAAGAAACUAAAUGAAGACUCUUCUUUGAUUUCUGUUGACCUAAAAGACUUACUUCGAACUUGUAGUAAAAGAAAUGACACGAUUAUUCAUAGGACUACAACUUAAUUCUAUAGGAUUCUAAUAGUGAACCCAAUACUUCUCACCUCUUUUUUUUUUUUUUGGGGUCCCAUUUUUGUUCUGCUGCCUCUUUUUCUCCUAAAGGUUUUUUGUUUUUUAGAAAAAAACAUCUGUUUUUACAGUCCAAGCACAUGGCUUUGCUUCUCUCUUACUACAAUAUUGAUUUUUUUUUUCUUUCUUUUAAAUCAUUGGGUUCUAGUGCCCCGGAUCCUGUAUAGGCAGUUUCCCCCCUCAUUUCUCUGUUAACCCCCCACCUUCUCUUUAUUGGAGCUGAAACCAUCCAGUCAGGACGUGAAAUGAUCAUCGCCUUCUCAGUGGAUGUUCCAUUGUUGGUUAAUUGGCCACUAGUCAGUACAAGUCUCAUUACCUUCUGAGGAAAAAAAAUUAAAAAAAGUUUACCAAGAUUAUAAAAUGG